AAAAAUCAACCGCAACAUCCGGGAACCCAAGGAAGAGCAAUCGAUUCUAGAUUCAAGAUCGGGAGCGUGCGUCAAGCAAAAGGAUCGAGCGCCCCAACACAACUUCGGCUGUCGGCUAGCAUGAUGAUCGGAUUUUAGCCAUGUCCGUUAACAAUGGGGCUUUGGAACUGCUGCUUAAUCACCUGUUAGAAAGACUUCGCUCUUGAUUGGAAAAUAUUUUGGGACGCAUGCCUCUAGAUCUGGACUUCUUAGAGUUCACUUGCACACAAGAAUUUGUGUUUUUAAAUUCUGUAUCCUCUCAGGUAGCUGUCUGUCCAGCAAUUUUAGAUGCACUUACUCAGUUGCACAGUCUUAUAAACAUAGAAAAAGAAAAAGGUAAGCAACAUAUUGCCGUUGUGCAGUUUGAGGAAGAACCAGCUGGACGACAACGAAUGGCCAUAUCCCCAGACUACCUAUGCAACCUUCUUGAACUUAAUCUGUUGGUCCCCUGUAUCGCUAAACUCAUGGGGAUUUCCAGAAGCACUGUGUACCGGCGCAUGGCUGAGUAUAAUCUCUUAAUAAAGGCACUAUACAGCACCAUGACAGAUGAAGAGUUAGACCAGUGUGUGAGGGAGAUUAAAUCCAGACAGCCUCAUUCUGGAUACCGAAUGGUGAAAGCACUUCUGCAAGCCAGAGGACUACGGGUGCAGUAUAACCGUGUCAGAGCUUCCAUGCACCGUGUUGACACCACUGGUGUCAUCUCCCGUAUGCUCCAUUUAGGAUGCAUUGCUCGACGGACCUACUCAGUUCCAGGACCCCAGUCUUUAAUUCAUAUUGAUACAAACCAUAAAUUGAUAUGGUAAUUCUUUUCAAAUAAUGUUUUUGACAAAAUGCAAAUGAAUUAAGAGUAUGUUAGCCCUUAAGCAAAGUUAUUCUGUUCUGAGCGUUAACACUAUUUCUUACUUAUAGUACGUUCUAUACAGUUGACAAAUUCAGUAUUUUUCUUGCAGCUAAAUGGAUACCUUUCCCCGCAGGCUGAAGCGUGUACCUCAAUACAAUCAGUGGUAAACAUUUCUGCACAGACAGGACACUCUUGCAUGUCUGCUGCUGAGAAAUGGAAGUUACAAGAAAGAACAAUGAUAUUUUGAAAGAAAAGGUUUCUUAAUUCAUUUUAUGAAUGAUAUGUAAUAUGCUAACAAAAUCUUAAACAAAUAAUUUUGACAUUUUCUCUCUUCAGGCUCACCGCUAUCGACAUUAGUCAGGUUAUCGUCAACAUCAAUUACAUCACAAGACUUGAUGUAUUCUGUCAGGAGUGGAAGGGGAACUGCUGCUCCACACUUCUGACAAAUGGCUUUUGGCAUGCUCCUGAAUGCUUCAUCAUUGAGUGGUAGAGGAUUUGUGUUAAGUUCUUCUUGAAUUGAGGCUAUGAACAGACUUUUACAACGACCUAUAGCCUUCAAGACCCUGCCUGAAAAGCCACUAUCUUCUGGAGGCACAACACAGAGUUUUCGGCUUCCCCAGCCAGCUGUGGAAAACAUUACAGAUGGAAAUUAGAUUGGAAACUUUCAACAGUGUGUUGGAUACAUAAUAUAUAUUUAAUUUAAGUCAAAGUAACUAGACUUUUUGUGUGACUAGAGUAUAAACUGAAGAAGCCAACUGUCUAUUUUUCAAAUACAGUUAUUACAAUUUAACACUUUGUAGUUUUGUUUUUGUCUUGCAGUAAGACUCCUAAUAAAUGUUUUCCCUUGAAAUCAACAUAGACAGUCUUAAUAACAAAUGUACUUGAGAUGAGUUAAGAGAAUUUUGUUAAAGUUUUAUUUGGGAACCAUCUGUAAUUAAUAUGAAUGAAUCAAAUCAACAGUCUUCAUUGCAUAAUGUGCAGUUAGCUGCUGCACAUGUACUUUUUAUACGAAUGAGCAACACAAACAAACUUGUGUUGGCCUACCUGAUGCUUUAUGCUUUGAGGGCAUCACAUAACUGUGAGAAAAAAAUUAUACAAGUGUAUUUAACCAUAACACUCUGAAAAGGGAUAGCUUGAUUAGAUCAAAUGACAACAUCAAAAUCCAUGCAAUUGUUUUUUCUAUGAAUACAAGUUGUGGUGCUGUUAUUAGGGCUGUGUCCCCAACUCAGAAUGUUCCCAGUCCAAUCGGAUCUGAAAGGCUAUUUGGUCAUCAGAAAAGUGCAUUGGAGUUGGAUAUUUGGCCUUCUGUCUAUACGAAAAUGUUGGAAAACAGGUUAGGUGUACGCCCUUCAGGGUGACCUUUGAAAACUCAGUUUUGACUGUGUUUGUGCUUACGGGUGAAAGAAAGGUUUAUCUCAAUUCUUACAGAUUAUGAUUAACAGGUUAUAACUUUAAAGCACUAGAAGUAACCCAUAGUUUUCUCCAUUUCACUUGAGCAAACAUGAAUGUAUAUUUGGAUCUACAAAAUAACUUCUUUAAUGUAAUAUGUAUAUUAAUGCAUAUAAACAUACAAGCUAGACUAAAGAACUAAUUACAUAUUACUACCUCUUCAUGUGUUGUGCUCUCAUCUACAUGAGUGGUUCUACAGCCCAACCCGGGCCGGCAUAUGGAGUAUUUGCUCCUGCUCUUUUGGAGUUCUUUCCUACGGGUUUGGCAGCAAAUACAAAGCCACUUCAAGCGGUUUUGCUCUCUUGGCAGGAACAAGAUUUGCUGCAGGAAAGCGCCUCUUUCCUCUGGCCUUGGUAAACAUACCUGGGAAGGACCUGUAGAAAACAGGUUUUUAAGUUUUUUCUUACUACAUUAAAAGGUUGACAAAAGGCUCUUGCAAGAUAGAUGAAUAUAGAAAAACUUGGCAUUCUACUGCAUACUUUCAUCAAGUGUUACAUCAAGUGGCAUUGAUUUUGACCAGUUGUACCCAACCAGUCGAUCGCGGUCUACCAGUCGAUCGUAGGCUGAGUUCCAGUCGAUCGCGAGAAAUUUUGACCCCAGGACACUUUGUUCAGCCGUUGAACACAGAACUUGACCCACAGCCAUACUAAGUUGGGUCAUGGUGCCCACACUCUUACACAUUAAACAGUAACAUUUGAGCACAACACAACAUUAAACAGUAACAUUUGAGCACAACACAACAGAACCUAGAAAAACACACAUAAACUUAAACACUAGAACAUGAACAUAACAGAUAGGGAUUUAAAUGGAUCCAAAGAUUGUCCCACAAUGCAAUGCGCCUACCAUCGCAGCCUAACGCGCUACUGUAGCAUCAAUUAGAUGAAAUAAAUAGAUUUAUUUAGAAACAGGGAAACAGAGCUGCCGACUUUUACAAAAACCUUGGCGUGAGACCGGCCGGGGGGGAUCAGACGAACACCGACGACGCGCUUUCUGCUCCGCUGAUGGGAGCGCGCGGACGUAGCCGUGCAGCGCGAUACCGAGCGCGUUGUAAACGUGUCCAUGGACAGGAAAGGGAACCUUACAUUACUGUUGUGUUCUGACGCCCCUCUUUUUCAAUGGUAGUCUCCCUUUUUUUUUUGGCGUGAGAAAUCGGAGGUGUGGCGUGAGAGCGUGUGAAACCGAUCAAAUGCGUGGGUCUCACGGCCAAUGCGUGAGAGUUGGCAGCCCAGGCUGUGGGCAAAGACUGGGCGGAGCUUGAGAGUGCACGUUAUGAUGAGCAAGUGCAGAGCAUCUUGUCAGAAUUUGACAGGCGCUUCACUGACUUUGCAUCCAUUGAGCCUGUUGUCAUCUCUGUUUUCCAUUUGGGGAAAAUGUAGAUGUGGAUUGUAUAACGUCCAAAGUGGCAUUACUCUUCAACCUGGAUAGCUGUGCUGUGGGGAAUGAGAUCCUCACACUGAAGAAUGACAUUGAGCUCAAAUCCAGAGCAACACAUGAAUGUCCGAUUCUGGAAUCUAAUGCAGAAAGAGAAGUACCCCAACCUCAGACAAACUGCAGAGAAUUUGACUGCACUUUUUGGAUCAACAUAUUUGUGUGAGUCUGCCUUUUCACAUAUGAAAAUCAUCAAGUCAAAAUACAGAUCCACCAUGACUGAUGACCACCUUGCAGUCUGCUUACGGCUGGCACUCAGCUCUUACUGUCCGGACUAUGAGAGACUAUAGUCCUCCUCUCAGUGCCAGAAAAGGUAGAGAAAUGCCACUUUUCCAACUUUAAUUAGUUCUUAUAAAAGUUCAAAGAAUUAGGCAUUGUAUUAUUUGGGUUGUUUGUCUGUCGUGUUGUUAUGGGCCAGUCCUAGGCCUACUUGUGCUUAUUCUUUGCAAAUUCACAUUUACUUCAAUAAAUGUAUUAUGAUUGUUAAAACUGUAUCUAUGUGUCAGAAAACAGUGUCCUAUAUAGGUGCGCAAUAAAUUGUGGCUACGCUACGGCUCUCGAUAUGGCUUGGUAGAUCUCGAUACACUAUCAACUUUA